rnacentral:misc_RNA from 1 species
AACCUAGCACACCUGCGGUGUGUACCUGCGGAAGGAUCAUUACCUAGAGUUGUAGGCUUUGCCUGCUAUCUCUUACCCAUGUCUUUUGAGUACCUUACGUUUCCUCGGUGGGCUCGCCCACCGAUUGGACAAAUUUAAACCCUUUGCAGUUGAAAUCAGCGUCUGAAAAAACUUAAUAGUUACAACUUUUAACAAUGGAUCU